UAUCAUCAGCAGUACUCUUAUCACCAGCGACCGUAAGGUCAUAGUCAGAAGAGCUAUUUGAGUAGGAGAAGCCUACGCCAGCAGGAGAUUCCAAGAAGAUCACAUUUGCCACUGUCAUUGAUUCAUAAAGUUGCAGUACCUCCAUUGAGCCACAGAACCAGAGGCUUGGUCAAAAAGUUCUGUGGGGACUCCACAAAAUAGUAGAACAGUGCUCUACCAGCCUUUGGAUCAACAGUCACAUACCCCGAAUACUGAUCAAAAUCCACUCCAUCAGGUUGGCCAGGCAAGGCAACAAUCUUGUCAGCUUGCAUUAGCCCAUGUUGAGGCUCAAUGUGCAUGGGAGAGUAUUCAGUUUUAGCCUGUAGUUCAGGCCAUGACUGUGGAAUAGGAGGAUUUUGUGACCUUCUGGAUUUAAGCAGCCUGUCAAGGCUAUCAGCUUGAUUGGCUUCACAAAAAGCAAGCAGUGCCAAGAGGCAAUUAGUUAAAAACUGGCACAUACACAGUGUUAAUUUCAUCAUGUUUUUGCCUUCUUGGCAUGGUAGGGUGUGUCAAAAUGGUCCAUAAAUAGCUGGAGUGGAAUGUUAUAUUGAUGCACUUGUUUUGUUUUCUAGUACUUGUGGGUAUCUUUUAAGAACACAAUGACAGCUUAAUCUGUAAUAACUUUUGCAGGAAUUCAAACAAGCCGGCUGCUUUUACAAUGA